UCCUCUCCGCCGCGUUCCCCUCUGCCUGCCCACCCGCGCCCGUGGGCACUAAGUCCAGCCCCCAGCUACCGGUGCAGGGCAGGGCGCGGUGGCCUCGGGUGACCCUCAGCUCCCGCGCACAUCCCGGUCCCUCCCCUCGCGGCCUGGGAGACGCACAGCGUUCCAUGUCCCUGCCAGGCCGAGUCACCUCCCAGAUCCCGACUCCGACUCCGUGGGUGCACGGCCUGCUAACGCCGCGGGUGCCCGGGAGGUGUCACCAGAGCCGGGACCAAGAUGUGGACGCCCACUCCGGUUCACGCCACGCCUUGUGCCCCCCAGUUUCGAGGCUCUGGAACAGACAGACCUCGGAGAAAGCUGCCUGAGCCUCUACGGUUCCAGCGCGGAUCGGAGCGCGCCGGCACAUUUUUAACUUGGACGACACUUGGAUGCAGUCUCAGGAGGACCUUUACGCUCAACUACGGGAAUCCCGAUGGCUCCAGCGCCCGGCUCAUAGCUUCUCUCCCGGUGUCUGUCACCUGCUCAGCGCGGCGCUCCACGCUCAUCUAGUUUCCCAUUUCUUCUAGAAAACAGCCCAAGGGGGGAGGGUGUCAUUAGCCCCAUUUCCUUGAGCAUUUGGUUUGCAAGGAAUUGUCUUUCUGGCGAGUUUUAUUUUCUCCUUUGGAUCUGGCUUUGUCUCGAAAUUGGUCUUUAUUUUUAGCUGUGCUAAUUGCUAUUUUUCUAAACCAUUCCCCAGCCCCCUCCCCACGCGUUCUUUCUCAGGAUUUUCACUAGUUGGCACUUUCCUUUAUAUCUUCUAUUCUGAGCUCCCCAUUUUGCUCUAUUUUCCUUCUUUUUUGUCCACCCCGCAGUCCCAACGCCACCUCAGCUCUGGUCCUCUGUGGUUAUUCUCUCCCUACCCUUUCCUGCUCCGUCAUUUCCAAACAUGGCCCUUUGUGCUAUCCAAAAAGGAUGCUCGUCCCUUAGAGGCUGUAGAGGUCUUCAGCUGUGGCUUGCAGUGCCCCAUGGGAGGAUCAGGCAGAUAGCGUCUGCUGUUCCCAGCUUUGAUCUCUCCUGAACAUCACCCCAUGCGUUCCUGGCAUGCCACAGCUCAGAGAUCCUUGGAGGCCAGUAUCUUGGGCUGCAAAUCAGGAAGCUGAAGGCUGAACUUGGUCUGGCUAUUUUCAAUUAAUGAACAUGCUGGGAGCACCUUCCUUAGGCUACGGUCCUGUCCCUCUCUUGCCUUCUCAUCCAAGUCCCCACAACGCAUGUUUAAGAUGGCAGAGCCAGGACUGAGGAUGCAGGUGAGUGGGUGCACUACUUGCCUAGGAUACAUAAAGUCCUGGGUUCAACCCCUAGUGUUGCAUAAACUAGGCUUUUUCAUGCAUGUCUGUAAUCCUGGCGCCUGAAGAACAGCCCAGGAGGAUCAGAAGUUCAAGGUCAUCCUUGGCUGCAUACUAAGUUUGAGGCCAGCCUGAGCUACAUGAGACCCUGUCUCUAAACAAGCGAGCAAGCGAACCCUUCCACACCUUCUUUUUCCCCAUCCCUGCGUCCUGUGUUACAGUGGGUCCCUUCCAACACAGUAUACUUUUCAGGGUUCUUCUUUGCUGGCCCCUCCCUCUAACUCCCCGUAUUACAUUCUCCCUUGAACAUGGGCUCUGUUUGGUUCACUGUUGUCCCAGCACUUGCAAAGGUCUCUGAUGUAGGAAACAGUCAACACUAGGUUGAUGGAUCAAAGGAAGGUGCGAAGCUCUCCUUCCUCCUGCAGGCCACUUGAAAUGGCAGAAGGGUUAGCACAUGCGCGCAGAGAGAUCACAACCCAUUGAGAGUGGGCAGAGGAGCAGAAACUGCCCUUAACAGGAGGAAGGAUGUGAGUGCAAGAAGUGCCCCGGGGAGCACAACGCGGUGCCCCCACGGAGCUCAGAGAGCUCCUGCCUGGAAAGCUCAGACCUCAGGAAGCAGGAAGACGGAGCCGCAAAGGUUAGUUAGCAUUAGGGACAAGAGAGAAGGCCGUGUGAGCAGGCUCCCUCUCCAGCCACCUAAGGAGCAGAAACUAUUUAGGGAAAUAUUAGAGCACAGAGGCUCUGGACUAGGGCAGGCAGGGGCUGGAGGGGCAAGAGUUCCAGACCGGCCCGGGAUAUAUAACAACAAUCUGGCUUGAAACACUAAGGGAUGGGACGCAGCUCAUUCGGCAGUGUUGUUCCAGUCCAGUCCCCAGCACCACAGGAGCCAGGAGUGAACUGUACGACUGUCGUUCAACUACUCAGGCAGUAGAAGCAGGAGGAUCAGAAGUUCAAGGCCAUCCUCAGCUACAGUAGUUUGAGGCCAGCCUGGGGUACAGGAGUAUGUUUUUUUUAAAGGCAGUCAAACAUAUGUCUGUUGUUUAAUCCAAACAUUCCACAGAAAAAUGAAAACAUAUGUCCCGCAGAUGGCUCAGCAUGUAAGCGCUUGCUGCCAAGCGUCAUGACCUGCGUUCAGUCCCUGGGACCCAUAUGGUAGAAGGAGAUGACCAACCCCUGAAAGUGGUUCCCAGACUCCACACACUGUGCCUCAUGUUCAUGGGCACACAUACACACACUCAACUCACGCUCGCCAAAUAAGAAUGUCACAAAAAUCUCAAAUGGAAGUGUAUGUAAGAGCCGAAUACAGAAUGUCCACAGCUGCUUUAUUUGAAAUAGCACUAAUUGGAAACACCAAAUGUCCAUCAACAGUUGACUGGAAGGAAAAUUCCUGGCGUGUGGAUAUAAUGGAAUACCAGUCACCUAACCCCCUUCCCUACUCGCAAUGUUGGCUACUGAUAGAUUCUGGGAGCGAGUGAGUCAUUGUUUUCAGUUGUGAACCCACUAAGUAAAUCACAAGAAAUGGCCAGAAAGCAAAGGCUGCAAACCUUGAAGAGAAAGUCCCCAAGAUGGGAAAGGAAGGCGUAGUGUCUGGUUUUUCAUACUCUUACAAUGUGCAUAUGUCAUUUUACUAAACUGAUGUUUAAAAUUCUGAUGAUUGUACUUGCCUAGUCCACACAAGAGGGAAGAUUUGGUGACGGUGGCAGUACUAGUGACUGAAGUCUUCUUAGGUGCUUGGCACAGUGAAAAGUAUGGUUUCAAAUGCUGUCCUCAUGCAACAACCUUUGAGUGCCUUCGCCACCACUACACAGCCUCUAGGCCAUCUGGGCAACAUGAUGCUUGAGCUUCUCAGAAACUUCUUUGGUAUAUGUCAGUCCUGUGAGUGUUUCAGGUAAGGUAUUUUAAGACUCUCACUGGUUUUUGGAAACUGCCGAUAGCUCUUUGGUGACAAUGAACAGAAAGAGGUGUGAGAUAACAGAGAAAUCAGUUUGAGGACUGGGGAGGAGCUGGGUCAGUGUACUGGUCUGUUUCCAAGGUCUGGAAAGAGUUCAUGAGAACCACAGUGGGGAAAAUGGCAGAUGAUGGCUUUCAGAGACAAGCACAUCCCCCAUUUGGACGUUGUUGUGUGACGGCCUUUUCAUGGGGAAUGCAAUACAUACACAUCUAGAGGGGCCUAGUGAAUCUGGUCAGUUUCAGGGACUUCCUGAAGCUGUUCUGAGUUGUUUGCUGUCUGUCUUUUUUUUUUUUCAUUUAUUGAAAAUAGAUUUUUUUCCUCACAUAAGAUAUCCUGGUUAUGGUUUCCCCUCUCUCUACUGCUUCC